rnacentral:sRNA from 1 species
ACCAAGGUUCGAUUCGAGCGCAGCGAGAAAGCGUUGCCGCAGGCAACGACCCGAAGGGCGAAGCGCGCAGCGCUGAG